rnacentral:lncRNA from 1 species
AUGAUUACACCAUUGGCCUGGAAGGGUUUGCGGGUCUUUGUGCCCGUGGACGUCAGGGUGGGCUCACAUGCUCUUCUCCUGCAGUUGGUGGGAGUAACCAUGACCCUUAGCAGAGCUCCUGGACUCUAUAAACACACAGACGCUGGAGUCAGAAAGGACCUUGGCACGCGGUUCUGUGAGGCCCCCCCUCUGCUCCUCAGAGGCCUCGGCCUUUGUGGAGAUGCCUCGCGGGACACGGCGGGGGAAGGAAGCAGGGGGCUCAGCGGGUACGGUUCAAACAAAGCGGCGUUUCUUGUCACGCUUGUAAACAGGUACUUUAUUUCAUUUUGUUUGGAAAGGGGGUUCUGAUGUUAAAGAAAGAUGACCCUCUGCUCCACUAUGUUCUUUUUUUUUUUAUUCAUUUAUCAUUAUAUUUUAAUGUUAAGUUUAUAAAUGAUUUUCUUUAUUCACAAUUUAUAGAACAUUCAUCAAUAUUUUUAUAGUUCCUCUAUGAUUUUAUGUUUUACAUUUAAUUCUUUUUUUUAAUUUUAUUUUUAAACUUUACAUAAUUGUAUUAGUUUUGCCAAAUAUCAAAAUGAAUCCAUCACAGGUAUACAUGUGCUCCCCAUCCUGAACCCUCCUCCCUCCUCCCUCCCCAUACCAUCCCUCUGGGUCGUCCCAGUGCACCAGCCCCAAGCAUCCAGUAUCGUGCAUCGAACCUGGACUGGCAUCUCGUUUCAUACAUGAUAUUUUACGUGUUUCAAUGCCAUUCUCCCAAAUCUUGGAAGAAGAGAACACUGAAGCUCACAGAAGAAGCAACUUUUCCCUGGCGUGUCAGAAAACAUUUCUUCCCAAACUGGUCUCGGUGGGGCAUCUUGGGUGGCACCUCAGGACACACCGUGGGGUCGUGAGAGAGCAAACCAGAGCUAACAGGUGCAGGAUGGAGCCCCAGGGCUGGGAGGAUUGCAACAGCGUAGCUGGGACCCUCAGAGGCCAGGCCUGCGAGGUUUCCGAGUGGUCACCUCCCUCUCUGUAACAUCCAUUUCCACAUCAUCUUUUUUUUUUUUAAUUGGGGAUGAUUCCUUUACAAUUUUGUGAUGGUUUUGGCCACACAUCAGUGUGAAUCAGCCACAGGCAUGCAUGUGUCUCCCCUCCUGAACCCGCCUCCCCUCACCUCCCCAUCCACCCUUCCAGCUCGUCACAGCACUGGCUUUGGGUUCCCUGUGUUGUACAUCAAGCCCCACUGACUCUGUUUUACUUACAGCAAUGUGUAUGUUCCAAUGCUGUUCUCUCAGAUCAUCCCACCCUCUCCUCCCACUGAGUCCAAAAGUCUGUUCUUUAUGUCCAUGUCUCCUUUGCUGCCUUGCACUUGGGAUCAUUGGUAUCAUCCUUCGAGAUUCCAUAUAUAUGUGUUAAUAUACAGUAUUUGUCAUUCUCUUUCUGACUUACUUCACUCUGUAUAACAGGCUCUAGGUUCAUCCACCUCAUUAGAACUGACUCAGAUGUGUUCCUUUUCAUGGCUGAGUAAUAUUCCCUUGUAUAUAUGUACCAUGACUUCCUCAUCCACUCAUCUGCCAAUGGGCAUCUAGGUUGCUUCCAUGUCCUAGCUAUUGUAAAUAGUGUUGCAGUGGACAUUGGGGUACAUGUGUCUUUUUUGGUUCCUCUGGGUGUAUGCCCAGCAGUGGGAUUUCUGGGUAGUAUGGUAGUUUUAUUCCUAAUUUUUUAAGGGAAUCUCUACACUGUUCUCCAUAGUGGUUGUAUCAGUUCGUAUUCCCACCAACAGUGUAAGAGGCUCCUUUUUCU